rnacentral:tmRNA from 1 species
GGGGGCGAAACGGAUUCGACGUGGAUAUGUAACUAUAAGUCGCAUGCCGAGGUCCUGUCCGCUCGUAAAACGGGUAGGAAACUAUAAGUGCCGAUAACUACGGCUACGCUUUAGCCGCUUAAGGCUAACGUCGCAUUAACUUUGUCGGAAGAGUUAAUUGUGGCGCCGAUAAUUCCGGCUAGGGAAGUGAGUUGGCUGACGACUCGCCGACCGAAAAACUAGUCGGCUGGUCCCAAAAGCAUUCUGCCGGCGGAAGACUUGCGGGACGAGAAACAAAACACCGGCUAAGCAUGUAGAAGCUUUUAGGGAGUAUUUGCGGACGCGGGUUCGACUCCCGCCGCCUCCACCA